UAUUUGAAAGAUUAAUAAUCUUUUUUAUUUAUAUUAUAUGUUUAAUAAAAACAAUUUAUAUAUAAGUAUAGUUUAUAGAAUUUAUAUUAUUUAUUUUUAUAGAUUAUUGUACUGUAAAGGAAUUUUAUAUUAAUGAAUGUAAGUAGAUUUUUAUAUUGUACCUUUUGUAUCAGGGUUUAUCAAAUACUAUUAAUUAAUUUAAUUUUCCCGAAAUUAUAGGAGAUAACUAGUGUUUAAAUUUAAUAUGGUAACAUUAUUAAGUAAUAUUAGUUAGGGGUUAUAUGCUAUUCAACUAUAACUAUCUGGUUUUUUGAGAAUUGAAUUCAAUUCAGCAUUGUUACAAAUAUAUUUAUACUAUAUUUAAUGUAUUGUUUCUUUGUAAUAUUUAAGGGGAUAAGCUCUUAAAUUCUUUUAUAGAUUUAUAUUAUUUAAAAUUAAAAUUUGUAGGAUUGAUAAUUUCUUUCUAUUAUUUUGUUAUAAUUAAUUUUACUAUUUAAAUUUAUUUAUUUAUUUCUUAGAUAUAUAUCAAAAAUCUUUAUUUAAUUAAGAUAUUAAAGGAUAAAAUGGUAAAAUUAGUAAAUUUUUUAAAAUAUAAAUAGGAACUAGGCAAAUUUAAUAUUCACCUGUUUAACAAAAACAUGUCCUUAUGAAUUAAAUAUAAGGUCAGGCCUGCUCGGUGAUUUAUUUAACAGCUGCAGUAUAUUGACUGUGCAAAGGUAGCAUAAUCAUUUGUCUUUUAAUUGGGGACUAGUAUGAACGGUUUGAUGAAAUAUUAACUUUCUUUUUAUAUUAAUUUUGAAAUUAAUUUUUGUGUUAAAAAGCAUAAAUUCAAUUAUAGGACGAGAAGACCCUAUAGAAUUUUGAAUAUCCAUAUUUUUAUAGUAGAUUUAUUAUCAAGUAUUUAAAAAAUAGUAUAUUUUUGUUGGGGUGACAGAGGAAUAUAUCAAACUUCCAUUUAAAUAAUUUUAUAAAUUUAUAUAUUAUUGAUCCUAUUUUUAGAAUAUAAGAUUAAAUUACCUUAGGGAUAACAGCGUAAUUUUAUUGGAGAGUUCUUAUCGAUAAUAUAGUUUGCGACCUCGAUGUUGGAUUAAAAUUAGAAUUUGGUGUAGUAGCUAAGUGUCUAGGUCUGUUCGACCUUUAAAUUUUUACAUGAUCUGAGUUCAGACCGGCGUAAGCCAGGUUGGUUUCUAUCCUUAAUAUUAAAAUUGUAUUCUAGUACGAAAGGACCGGAUACUUUAAAUAUUUUA
rnacentral:rRNA from 1 species